GGCCAGCGUGGUGUAGUGGUCCGAAUGUUGGACUACAACUCUGGAGACCAGGGUUCAAUUCCCCACUCGGCCA